GACCUGCAUAAUUCUCCUCCCCCAAAUGAGCAAUCUGGGUGUUUGGCCUUCGUCAGAUGGGAGGACGGUUAUACCGGCAAAAUCUUUACUGGAGCAGACAUUUUGUCAAGAGAUGAAGCUCCUGUGCAGAUCUUAGAUCUUAGAACAGGAGAUUCUGUUUUAGCAAAGUGGUCAGAUGGUAAAUUUUAUAGGGCAACUGUUGAAUAUAUUUCAGGAAAAGUGACGGGGGACUUGUAACAGGCAGCAACACUGUUGGACCACCACCACCACCCUAUGGGAGAGAUGCAGGCAACCCAUCUGUCGAGGACACUAUCUCAUAUCGACCGCAGGCAGAAAAAUCAUGGACGCCAUGUGAUGGAUGUUGGGAG